rnacentral:rRNA from 1 species
UUGCUGGACGCGCCCCGGGCGCACCCAGAAACCCUUUGUGAACUUAUACCUUACUGUUGCCUCGGCGUAUGCUGGCCCCCAGGGGUCCCUCUCGUCCCGGGAGGAGCAGGCACGCCGGCGGCCAAGUUAACUCUUGUUUUUACACUGAAACUCUGAGAAAAAAACAAAAUGAAUCAAAACUUUCAACAACGGAUCUCUUGGUUCUGGCAUCGAUGAAGAACGCAGCGAAAUGCGAUAAGUAAUGUGAAUUGCAGAAUUCAGUGAAUCAUCGAAUCUUUGAACGCACAUUGCGCCCUCCGGUAUUCCGGAGGGCAUGCCUGUUCGAGCGUCAUUUCAACCCUCAAGCCUGGCUUGGUGUUGGGGCACUGCUUCUACCCAGAAGCAGGCCCUCAAAUCUAGUGGCGAGCUCGCCAGGACCCCGAGCGUAGUAGUUAAACCCUCGCUCUGGAAGGCCCUGGCGGUGCCCUGCCGUUAAACCCCCAACUCUUUGAAAAUUUGACCUCGGAUCAGGUAGGAAUACCCGCUGAACUUAAGCAUAUCAAUAAGCGGAGGAAAAGAAACCAACAGGGAUUGCCCUAGUAACGGCGAGUGAAGCGGCAACAGCUCAAAUUUGAAAUCUGGCCUCGGCCCGAGUUGUAAUUUGCAGAGGAUGCUUCUGGCGCGGUGCCUUCCGAGUUCCCUGGAACGGGACGCCACAGAGGGUGAGAGCCCCGUAUGGUCGGACACCAAGCCUGUGUGAAGCUCCUUCGACGAGUCGAGUAGUUUGGGAAUGCUGCUCUAAAUGGGAGGUAAAUCUCUUCUAAAGCUAAAUACCGGCCAGAGACCGAUAGCGCACAAGUAGAGUGAUCGAAAGAUGAAAAGCACCUUGAAAAGGGGGUUAAAUAGUACGUGAAAUUGUUGAAAGGGAAGCACUUGUGACCAGACUUGGGCCGGGCGGCUCAUCAGGGGUUCUCCCCUGUGCACUCCGCCCGGCACAGGCCAGCAUCGGUUCUCGUGGGGGGAUAAGACCGUCGGGAACGUAGCACCCUCCGGGGUGUGUUAUAGCCCGGCGGACGAUACCCCCGUGGGGACCGAGGUCGC